rnacentral:rRNA from 1 species
UACGGGGGGGGCAAGCGUUGUUCGGAAUUACUGGGCGUAAAGGCUCGUAGGCGGCCAACUAAGUCAGACGUGAAAUCCCUCGGCUUAACCGGGGAACUGCAUCUGAUACUGGAUGGCUUGAGAUUGGGAGAGGGAUGCGGAAUUCCAGGUGUAGCGGUGAAAUGCGUAGAUAUCUGGAGGAACACCGGUGGCGAAGGCGGCAUCCUGGACCAACACUGACGCUGAGGAGCGAAAGCCAGGGGAGCAAAGCGGG